UGAGGAAUAUUGGUCAAUGGACGGAAGUCUGAACCAGCCAUGCCGCGUGAAGGAAUAAGGCCCUACGGGUCGUAAACUUCUUUUGUGGUGGAGCAAUAAGACGUACGUGUACGUCGAUGAGAGUACAUCACGAAUAAGCAUCGGCUAACUCCGUGCCAGCAGCCGCGGUAAUACGGAGGAUGCAAGCGUUAUCCGGAUUUAUUGGGUUUAAAGGGUGCGUAGGCUGUGUAGCAAGUCAGUGGUGAAAGCCCGGUGCUCAACACCGGAACUGCCAUUGAUACUGUUGCGC
rnacentral:rRNA from 1 species